AAGACUGCUCAAAAUCUCCUCAGAGCUCAGAACUUCAGUUGGAAACCCUGGCCUGAGAAUUCCAACAGAUUUUUAUCUCUCAUUCUAAACUGGUUUAAGAUCAUUUGACAGAAUUUUUCUCUCCUGCCACUUAACUUAUCAGAAAACUAUUCCAAAUCCUAUUCAAUAAUAUUCCCAAUAAUCUACAUGUAAAAAUAAAAUUUAAAUCACAUUUUAAAAAAGAAUUAUUGAGAAGGGAAGAAUGUCUUUGCCAGGAACACCCCAUGGUCAGCAUGGUCCAUAGCAUCAUGAAGAGCUGGAUAUGACUUAAUGACUGAACAAAGGCUGAAUAGUUGCAUUGAUCCUAUGGAUCCUGGUAUCACAUUGAGCUGUGUUAGGAAACCUAUGGAAUUCAUGCAGGAGGGAGCUGUUUCCUUUCACCUCUCCACAAGAGACUGAGAACAUUUCUCACAUCCACCCCUCUGUACAGCAGCCCAAUGGAAGAGCUUCCCUCAUCCACUGUCUGGGUGUGCAAAGGUAGAGUGUUACUAUGCUGAGGAGCACAACAAUAGCUACCACAGUUUAUGUGCUGCUGGAUGGACUUGCAAAACCUUCCUAUUGAAUAUUAAUGGUUGCGAAGAAAAUGGAUACCAGCAUGGAGCUAUCUGUGAAGAUGGAAUUAAUGAAUACAGGUGUGGGUGUCUUCAAGGAGGUGAUGGAUUCUUCUGCGGAAUAAAGACAAAUAUGUGUGUGUCUGAGACCUGUAAAAAUGGAUCUACCUACAUGUGUUUAAAUGACCAUGUCUUCUGGCAGUGUGACACUGGAUUUAUAGGUAAGUGUUUUCUUAGAUAUCUCACUUUUCUUUUUUUAAAUUUUUUCCUUUAAAACCUUUACCAGAAUUCUAUGUUAGAAUUGAUACUACGUAUUGGUUCUAAGGCAGUAAAGUGGUAAGGGCUAGACAAUGGGAGUUAAGUGACUUGCCCAGGGUCACUGAACUCAGGAGUGUCUGAGGUCACAUUUGAACCUAGCACCUAUCAUGUAGAGGUCUUUAGGUCUUUAGGUCUCUAGGCCUGGUUCUCAAUUCACUGAGCUAUCCAGCUGCCCCAACUGUUUAUCUUUCUUUAGAACAGGUUACUGAAAUAUUUCUUUGCCAUCAUAAAUCUAGCUAAAUUAUUGGCAUAAUUUUUUGACUUUAUUAUUUUUUAAAAAGCAAAUACCUUGAUUUGCAAAAGCCAUUUUCACUUCUCUAAUACUUACUAUGCAUGAAAAUGAAACCCAGAAUGCUGGGCAGCACUAUGGAAUGGCAAUAGCCAAGGGUUUCACAGAAAAAUAAGCAGUCAUUUCAUGAAGGAAGUAUGCUUUAUAAGCACUGCACUGAAGAUUUGGCAUUGCCUGUCUAGACAAAUGAUCUAAUUACAUUGUUCUCUGCUUUAAAAACAGAACUUGGGUGUUUUCCUUUUUCUAUGUAGUUUGAUGCUCUUACAUGAAAAAGAGGGGUAAAGGGAAGAAUGACUGAAAAAUAAUUCGUCUGUUAAGUUAUACUGGGAAAUAUAUAAAGCCUGUUAAAAAUAACCUAUUUUUUGUAAAUAAUAUUAUCAAAACUUGCCCAUUAAAAAAAGUACUCUUCUUAUAGCAAUAACUAUGCAAUAU
ensembl:lncRNA